rnacentral:rRNA from 1 species
UGUGAGGGGAGUGAAAUAGAACCUGAAACCGUGUACGUACAAGCAGUAGGAGCACCUUCGUGGUGUGACUGCGUACCUUUUGUAUAAUGGGUCAGCGACUUAUAUUCAGUGGCAAGGUUAACCGUAUAGGGGAGCCGUAGCGAAAGCGAGUCUUAACUGGGCGCUCAGUCUCUGGAUAUAGACCCGAAACCGGGUGAUCUAGCCAUGGGCAGGUUGAAGGUUGAGUAACAUCAACUGGAGGACCGAACCGACUAAUGUUGAAAAAUUAGCGGAUGACUUGUGGCUAGGGGUGAAAGGCCAAUCAAACUCGGAGAUAGCUGGUUCUCCCCGAAAGCUAUUUAGGUAGCGCCUCGGACGAAUACUACUGGGGGUAGAGCACUGUUAAGGCUAGGGGGUCAUCCCGACUUACCAACCCUUUGCAAACUCCGAAUACCAGUAAGUACUAUCCGGGAGACACACGGCGGGUGCUAACGUCCGUCGUGGAGAGGGAAACAACCCAGACCGCCAGCUAAGGUCCCAAAGUAUUGCUAAGUGGGAAACGAUGUGGGAAGGCUCAGACAGCUAGGAUGUUGGCUUAGAAGCAGCCAUCAUUUAAAGAAAGCGUAAUAGCUCACUAGUCGAGUCGGCCUGCGCGGAAGAUGUAACGGGGCUAAGCAAUACACCGAAGCUGCGGCAAUGUCUUUUAGA